GACGAACGCUGGCGGCGUGCUUAACACAUGCAAGUCGUACGGUAAGGCCCUUUCGGGGGUACACGAGUGGCGCACGGGUGAGUAACACGUGCGUAACCUGCCCACAACUUUGGGAUAACGCUAGGAAACUGGUGCUAAUACUGGAUAUGUGCUCCUGCUGCAUGGUGGGGGUUGGAAAGCUCCGGCGGUUGUGGAUGGACUCUCGGCCUAUCAGCUUGUUGGUGGGUUAGUGGCCUACCAAGGCGGCGACGGGUAGCCGGCCUGAGAGGGUGACCGGCCACAUUGGGACUGAGAUACGGCCCAGACUCCUGCGGGAGGCAGCAGUGGGGAAUAUUGCACAAGGGGCGCAAGCCUGAUGCAGAAACGCCGCGUGCGGGAUGACGGCCUUCGGGUUGGAAACCGCUUUCAGCAGGGACGAAGCUUUUUGUGACGGUACCUGCAGAAGAAGCACCGGCUAACUACGUG
rnacentral:rRNA from 1 species